rnacentral:rRNA from 1 species
UACGUAGGGGGCAAGCGUUGUCCGGAAUUAUUGGGCGUAAAGAGCUCGUAGGCGGUCUGUCACGUCGGCUGUGAAAUCCCCGAGGCUCAACCUCGGGUCUGCAGUCGAUACGGGCAAACUAGAGUAUUGCAGGGGAGACUGGAAUUCCUGGUGUAGCGGUGAAAUGCGCAGAUAUCAGGAGGAACACCGGUGGCGAAGGCGGGUCUCUGGGCAAUAACUGACGCUGAGGAGCGAAAGCGUGGGGAGCGAACAGG